rnacentral:lncRNA from 1 species
GUGCAGAAAUAAUAGUUGCGAAAAGUAAGUACAAUCCAACAUGUCUGCGCCCUUGAAGUAGCGAUAGAUAUCCACAACAGAUAAUAAUUACUGUGUAUAGUUCUUGAGGCAAAAAAAUGUUUUCAAGAUGAGUGGAUUUCUAACUAGAGGAUUACUGUCCACGUACCACAUAUCCAAAGAUCCUGUCAUACGAUGGCUUAGUCUACUGAGAACCCUUCAACACUAUUCAUCUCAGUCAAAAAUUGUCACACCAUGUCAACAUCACAGCAGGCAACUACAUGUGGGUAGUGUAAAGCUGAAGACCUUUAAGAAA